UGGAGAGACACUUACUCAGUAUCAUCAUAAACGAUGGAGAGACACUUACUCAGUAUCAUCAUAAACGAUGGAGAGACACUUACUCAGUAUCAUUAAGGUUGAAGAAGUUCAAGAAAAACUUAAAGAUGUGUUGGCAAAAGGCUGAAGUUUGAGAGUCACGAACUGCACCUAACUUAAUUGAGAGAAUUGAACGAAACUGAAGUAUUUUAGAUAGUGUAUAUGAUAGAAGGGAUUUGUGGGUAGAGGUGACCACCACUGUCAAACAGUCGUAUGCCACUUAAGACAUAUUACGAAAUAUGACCGCCAUAAUGGCAAAGGCAUGCCCAUACAGCCUGGAGACAUGGAGUCAGCGGAGGAAAUGGAUUCAGGGCAACCGUUCCUCUAGGGAUUUAGCAGUUAGAAUUUUACAGGCUACAGUUAUGCUCCUGUCAACUGAAGUAUCUGAUGGUGUUCACGAUAGCCAGUCAAAUAGAACAUUUGAAAAGUAACUUCACUUGCAACUGUUUUAACCAAUUUAGGAGUACAAACAUUGCGUCCUCAUUCCUCCUUCUCCUCAGAUCACUAAUUGAGUGGCAGGUUGAAGAUAUUCCAUAAACCUCCAACCUUCAACUAGCUGGUUAAGGAAAAGGCCUAAUGGAAGCCAAUGUUAAAACACCCAUGAUUCUGCCAGAGUAAUUCCCCAAUCCUACCAGCACUACAAUUAAACAUGGGCUCCAUGCUUCUGGAUCUUUACAUGGCUUCUGAGGAUUCUUGUGAUGGGUAUCUUGCUGGCUACAGAAAGAGAAACCUCAUUACCAAUUCUGUUAUCAAACUCUUGACCUACAAUCAGUCCACUGGUCAUAUAUUCUGGGGCAAUGGUGGUGCUUGUGGGAGUGACCAACUAAUGUUUGACAUGAUGCACAAGAGGGGUCCCAGGCAGUAAACUGCCCAAAUAGCCUGGAACAGGGGGCUGGAUAGCACAGAAACCUGAAUAUAAGAAAACAUCACACGUGUGCAUGUGAACACACACACACACACACACACACACACACACACACACACUCAAUAAAAUAAUCCUGAAGGUAUCUGUUAUAUUCAUAGAUGAGUACCUUGUCUAGUCAUCAUCAGAAAGGCUUCAUUUGUUAUCACAUAGGAGCAGGGACAGAGCCAUAUGAGAAAUUAUGUCUUUCUUCAGAGUGAAAGUCUAAAAUGUAGGUCUCCAUUGCUCUCCCCUACACAAACACACACACACACACACACACACACACACUCUCUCUCUCUCUCUCUCUCUCUCUCUCUCUCUCUCUCUCUCUCUCUCUCAGCUCUGGGAACCCAGUGAAAGAAUGGGAAAAAGGACUGUAGGGAUAUUAGGGGAACAUGUCCCACUGAUUCAACUGAGCAGGACUCCCAGGGGCUCACAGAGACUGAGGCAGCAAACAGGAGGACUGCAUAUGUCUUCACAAUGUCCUCUGUGCGUGCAUUAUGGCUGUUAGCUUGCUAAUUUUCAGGGAUACCUUACAGUGGGAGCAAGUAAGUCUCUGAGUUUUGUUCCUGCACUUGGGACUCUUCCUCCAACUGGCUACAUUUGUACAGUCAAGAACAUUCUUUGAAAGUGAAAAUGAAGCAGCAUCUUCUAUUAGCAAACUCUCUUACUGUAUUCAUGGAAAUAAAGGUUAUAUGCAUGAUAAUAUCUAAUGCUGGAACUGUGCUUCUCCCUAUCACCAUUAGUUUACCAAGGGCAGGAAUACAAUGUUGGAGGCAGUAUACGUUUUCUAAGUAAAUGAUGGCUAUUAAAAAUAUUUCUAGGACUUGAAGUAUUUCUCUGCAGAAGAAUAAACAACAUUGGGUUCAUGGAAAUCAAGCACCUAAAGGCCAUUUGUACAAAUGAGAAAGGUUGUUUACAUAGGAGACAUUUGUCAGGAGUGUCUGCUGCCUUCGUACUCAGCUUAGAUCACAUUGGCUUGAGACCCUCAAGUUUUCUCUGUGGUUUCUUUUUAGUUAUUUUUUUUGAGAUUAUGAUUAAAUCACUUCUCCCUCUUAUUUCCUCCCUCUAAACUUUCCCAUGUACCUCCUCACGUCUGGCUCUCUUUCAACCUCAUCGCUUCUUUUUUUCUCUCAUUUUUAGUUAUUAUUACAAGUGUGUGUGUGUGUGUGUGUGUGUGUGUGUGUGUGAAUGUGUAUACGCAUGUGUGUGUGCUCCUAAAUACACCUAAUAUAUAAAUAAGACCUGCUCAGACAUUAUAAUGUUACCAUUGUAAUAUAGUUUUCAGGGCUGGCUAUUCAAAAAGUUUGUAAGAGCCAGGUGAAGGGAGACUUUGCUGUGAGAUUGUCCCCUAGAAAUGUCAGAAGGCUGCUCCCUUUUAUAUCAAAAUUCACUCAUGUUAUAAUGACAAGUGUUAGUAUUUGACUCGUGUAGGUGUUUUCUUUGGAAGUCUGUCUGUGUGCCACGUGUAUGCCAUGUGCCUUAGAAAUCAGAGAAGGGUGACAGAGGACCUAGAAGUAGAGUUGCAGAGCGGUGAGAUGAGGACACCAGAAUUCCUACGAGUGCCCAGUGCUCCUACGUACUGAGCCAUCUCUUCAGUCAUAAUUGUCACCACUCUAAAAGGGGGCACGGAAUUCAAAGAAACAAAAUGGUGUUGGUGUAAAUGUGUAUUUUGACUUUUCUAUAAGAUUACCUUUU